GACGGAGGGUGCAAGCGUUGUUCGGAUUGACUGGGCGUAAAGGGCGGGUAGGCGGUGGGCAAGGUCGGUGGGGAAAGCCCGAGGCUCAGCCUCGGAAGUGCGUCGGAAACUAGUCGGCUGGAGCGCGAUAGAGGAGGGUGGAAUUCUCGGUGUAGCAGUGAAAUGCGUGGAUAUCGAGAGGAACACUCGUGGCGAAGGCGAGCUACUGGACAACAUCUGACGCUGAGGCUCGAAGGCCAGGGGAGCAAAAGGG
rnacentral:rRNA from 1 species